UACAGAGGGUGCGAGCGUUGUUCGGAAUUACUGGGCGUAAAGGGCUCGUAGGUGGCCAACUAAGUCAGACGUGAAAUCCCUCGGCUUAACCGGGGAACUGCGUCUGAUACUGGAUGGCUGGAGUAUGGGAGAGGAAUGCGGAAUUCCAGGUGUAGCGGUGAAAUGCGUAGAUAUCUGGAGGAACACCGGUGGCGAAGGCGGCAUUCUGGACCAUUACUGACGCUGAGGAGCGAAAGCCAGGGGAGCAAACGGG
rnacentral:rRNA from 1 species